CCCCUGAUGGUCCAGUAGCUAAGACUGUGCACUCCCAAUGCAGGGGGCCCGGUUCAAUCUCUGGUCAGGGAA
rnacentral:tRNA from 1 species